ACCGCUGGCGGCGUGCCUAACACAUGCAAGUCGAACGAGAAAGUCCGGUGUUGUAGCAAUACAAUACUGGGUGAGUAAAGUGGCGACCGGGUGAGUAACACGUGGAUAACCUACCUCCGAGCGGGGAAUAACCCUGGGAAACCGGGGCUAAUACCGCAUGACAUCCUGGUACGAUGGUAGCGGGAUUGAAACCUGGAAACGGGGCUUGGAGAGGGGUCCGCGGCCGAUUAGCUAGUUGGUGAGGUAACGGCCCACCAAGGCUGUGAUCGGUAGCCGGCCUGAGAGGGCGGACGGCCACACUGGAACUGAAACACGGUCCAGACUCCUACGGGAGGCAGCAGUGGGGAAUUUUGCGCAAUGGGGGAAACCCUGACGCAGCAACGCCGCGUGGAUGAUGAAGCCCCUUGGGGUGUAAAAUCCUUUCGGCAGGGACGAAACCCGAGCAAUCGGGCGGACGGUACCUGAAGAAGAAGCCCCGGCUAACUCCGUGCCAGCAGCCGCGGUAAUACGGGGGGGGCGAGCGUUGUUCGGAAUUAUUGGGCGUAAAGGGAGCGUAGGCGGUGCGGUAAGUCUGGUGUGAAACCUCUGGGCUCAACCCGGAGCUGGCAUCAGAAACUGCCGUGCUAGAGUGCGGGAGAGGAGAGUGGAAUUCCCGGUGUAGCGGUGAAAUGCGUAGAUAUCGGGAGGAACAUCGGUGGCGAAGGCGGCUCUCUGGACCGCAACUGACGCUGAGGCUCGAAAGCUAGGGGAGCAAACAG
rnacentral:rRNA from 1 species